UUUCCAGUCAGGCUCUGGCUAAUGUCCAGCUCUUAGCUGGAAUUAGCCAAAGCCUGGCUCUAAC
rfam:Mesocricetus auratus contig191299, whole genome shotgun sequence.